rnacentral:rRNA from 1 species
UACGAAGGGUGCAAGUGUUACUCGGAAUUACUGGGCGUGAAGCGUGCGUAGGUGGUCUGUUAAGUCUGAUGUGAAAGCCCUGGGCUCAACCUGGGAAUGGCAUUGGAUACUGGCAGGCUAGAGUGCGGUAGAGGAUGGCGGAAUUCCCGGUGUAGCAGUGAAAUGCGUAGAGAUCGGGAGGAACAUCUGUGGCGAAGGCGGCCAUCUGGACCAGCACUGACACUGAGGCACGAAAGCGUGGGGAGCAAACAGG